UUGAACGCUGGCGGCAGGCCUAACACAUGCAAGUCGAGCGGAUGAAGGGAGCUUGCUCCUGGAUUCAGCGGCGGACGGGUGAGUAAUGCCUAGGAAUCUGCCUGGUAGUGGGGGAUAACGUCCGGAAACGGGCGCUAAUACCGCAUACGUCCUGAGGGAGAAAGUGGGGGAUCUUCGGACCUCACGCUAUCAGAUGAGCCUAGGUCGGAUUAGCUAGUUGGUGGGGUAAAGGCCUACCAAGGCGACGAUCCGUAACUGGUCUGAGAGGAUGAUCAGUCACACUGGAACUGAGACACGGUCCAGACUCCUACGGGAGGCAGCAGUGGGGAAUAUUGGACAAUGGGCGAAAGCCUGAUCCAGCCAUGCCGCGUGUGUGAAGAAGGUCUUCGGAUUGUAAAGCACUUUAAGUUGGGAGGAAGGGCAGUAAGUUAAUACCUUGCUGUUUUGACAUUACCAACAGAAUAAGCACCGGCUAACUUCGUG
rnacentral:rRNA from 1 species